UACAGAGGUCUCAAGCGUUGUUCGGAUUCAUUGGGCGUAAAGGGUGCGUAGGCGGCGCGGUAAGUCGGGUGUGAAAUCUCGGAGCUUAACUCCGAAACUGCAUUCGAUACUGCCGUGCUUGAGGACUGGAGAGGAGACUGGAAUUUACGGUGUAGCGGUGAAAUGCGUAGAUAUCGUAAGGAAGACCAGUGGCGAAGGCGAGUCUCUGGACAGUUACUGACGCUGAGGCACGAAAGCGUGGGUAGCAAACAGG
rnacentral:rRNA from 1 species